AGGAUGAACGCUAGCGGCAGGCUUAAUACAUGCAAGUCGUGGGGCAGCAGGACUGUAGCAAUACAGUUGCUGGCGGCCGGCAAACGGGUGCGGAACACGUACGCAACCUUCCUUUAAGUGGUGAAUAGCUUUCGGAAACGAAAAUUAAUACACCGUAACAUUAUGAAAUGGCAUCAUUUUAUAAUUAUAGCUCCGGCGCUUAAAGAUGGGCGUGCGUCUGAUUAGGUAGUUGGCGGGGUAACGGCCCACCAAGCCUACGAUCAGUAACUGGUGUGAGAGCACGACCAGUCACACGGGCACUGAGACACGGGCCCGACUCCUACGGGAGGCAGCGGUGGGGAAUAUUGGACAAUGGGCGCAAGCCUGAUCCAGCCAUGCCGCGUGGAUGAUGAAGGCCCUAGGGUUGUAAAGUCCUUUCGGCGGGAAGAUAAUGACGGUACCCGCAGAAGAAGCCCCGGCUAACUUCGUGCCAGCAGCCGC
rnacentral:rRNA from 1 species